ACGAACGCUGGCGGCGUGCUUAACACAUGCAAGUCGAACGAAGCAACAGAAUGUGCUUGCACAAUUUGUUGACUUAGUGGCGGACGGGUGAGUAACGCGUGAGCGACCUACCUUAAAGAGGGGGACAACAGUUGGAAACGACUGCUAAUACCGCAUAAGACCACACUGCUGCAUGGCAGAGGGGUCAAAGGAGCAAUCCGCUUUAAGAUGGGCUCGCGUCCCAUUAGGUAGUUGGUGAGGUAACGGCUCACCAAGCCGACGAUGGGUAGCCGACCUGAGAGGGUGAUCGGCCACACUGGAACUGAGACACGGUCCAGACUCCUACGGGAGGCAGCAGUGGGGAAUAUUGGGCAAUGGGCGAAAGCCUGACCCAGCAACGCCGCGUGAAGGAAGAAGGUCUUCGGAUUGUAAACUUCUGUCCUAUGGGAAGAAGAAGUGACGGUACCAUAGGAGGAAGCUCCGGCUAACUACGUGCCAGCAGCCGCGGUAAUACGUAGGGAGCGAGCGUUGUCCGGAAUUACUGGGCGUAAAGGGUGCGUAGGCGGUUUUUUAAGUCAGAUGUGAAAUACCCGGGCUUAACCCGGGGGGUGCAUUUGAAACUGGAAGACUUGAGUGCAGGAGAGGUAAAUGGAAUUCCUAGUGUAGCGGUGAAAUGCGCAGAUAUUAGGAGGAACACCGGUGGCGAAGGCGAUUUACUGGACUGUAACUGACGCUGAGGCACGAAAGCGUGGGGAGCAAACAGGAUUAGAUACCCUGGUAGUCCACGCCGUAAACGAUGGAUACUAGGUGUAGGUGUCGAUAGACAUCUGUGCCGCAGCAAACGCAAUAAGUAUCCCGCCUGGGGAGUACGAUCGCAAGGUUGAAACUCAAAGGAAUUGACGGGGGCCCGCACAAGCAGCGGAGCAUGUGGUUUAAUUCGAAGCAACGCGAAGAACCUUACCAGGUCUUGACAUCCACUUAAGCCCAUGGAAACAUGGGGUGCCUUCGGGCGAAGUGAGACAGGUGGUGCAUGGUUGUCGUCAGCUCGUGUCGUGAGAUGUUGGGUUAAGUCCCGCAACGAGCGCAACCCCUAUUGCUAGUUGCCAGCAUUUCGGAUGGGAACUCUAGUGAGACUGCCGGGGACAACUCGGAGGAAGGUGGGGACGACGUCAAAUCAUCAUGCCCCUUAUGUCUUGGGCUACACACGUGCUACAAUGGCCGGUACAAAGGGUAGCGAAGCCGCAAGGCGGAGCCAAUCUCAAAAAGCCGGUCUCAGUUCGGAUUGAGGGCUGCAACCCGCCCUCAUGAAGUCGGAGUUGCUAGUAAUCGCAAAUCAGAAUGUUGCGGUGAAUGCGUUCCCGGGCCUUGUACACACCGCCCGUCACACCACGGAAGUUGGGAGCACCCGAAGCCAGUGGCUUAACCGCAAGGAGAGAGCUGUCGAAGGUGAGAUCAAUGACUGGGGUG
rnacentral:rRNA from 1 species